rnacentral:rRNA from 1 species
ACCUGCUUCUCUAACAUCAUUAGAGACCACUCCCUCGACUAUAUGGGCAUCCUAGAAACGAAGAAGGAAAGCUUUACUCCUAAAUACCUUAGGAAGAUUGACCCCUAUGAGAGACUUAGUUGGAAUUGGAUCCCCUCCACAGGUAAAUUGGGUGAAAUUCUCUAUGGGAUCAAGAAGGAAACCUUAGAGAUUGUUUCUUGGACGGCAGGUAGAUAUCUGCAGCAGGCCACAAUUUUUGAUAUUAGGCUCAAGUGUGUCUGGACCCUGGUGGUGGUUUAUGGGGCAUCACAUGAUGAUAAGAGGUAUGAGUUCCUUGAGGAAUUAACCUUGAUGUGUGGCAGUAUUAGAACCCCUUAUGUGGUUGGUGGUGAUUUCAACAUCCUAUGGGAGAGUAGUGAUAAAAACAAGUGCCUCCAUCGCUCCCAACACAUGCAUAUAUUCAACUCUAUCAUUCAGUCUUUGAACCUUAGAGAGAUCCAUAUGGGAGGAGGUAGAUUUACCUGGACUAAUAAACAGAGACACCCCACGCUCGAGAAGCUCGAUAGAGUACUCAUGAGCUUUGAUUGGGAAGAUCUAUUCCCACUAGUUGCAGUGCGCAAGCUAGUGAGAGAUGUCUUGGAUCAUAAUCCUUUGUUGUUGACAACAAAUCCCAUGAAAAAAAUACCCUUCGCCAGCGUGAAUUCAGGUUCGAACUUAGCUGGUUAA